rfam:Ixodes scapularis strain Wikel colony gcontig_1108379799296, whole genome shotgun sequence.
UCAUGGUUAGCUUAGUUGGUAGAGCGCUCCACUGGAACUGGAGACGUUCUUGGUUCGAUACCAGGACCAUCUG